rnacentral:rRNA from 1 species
AUGGCCGACCGCCUCUUGCCGCCUCCUCGGGUCGCCGCAUCGCCUCCUCGGGUCGCCGUCGCCUCCUCUAAUCCUCUUGCUCGGGUCGCUGUCGCCUCCUCUUGCUCCAACUCGAUGUCGGCGUCAGCUUCAGCGGCGGCGAACCAGCAGCCAGGCGGUGUUGUGUCAAGCACAGCAUCAACAGCUACACAGGGAGAAGGAGCACAUGUUGUUCCUAGAUCAAAAGAUCCAGCAUGGAAAUAUUGCACAUGUCCGGACAUUAGCAAGAAGAACUGUCUAAAAUGCAUAUUCUGCGGUCAUUUGUCCAGCAAUGGCACUAGUCGAAUCAAAUUGCACCUUGCAUGCAUUCCUAAGUCUGGUGUGGAUCACUGUGAGAAAGUGCCAGCUGAUGUCAAAGAGGAGAUCCUUCAGUACUUGACAAAGAAGGGUGACAAAAAGGCAGCCAAGCUUAUGGAGCAGAAGAGACGCAGAAAUGGAGUUGACUUGAGCCACUCGAAGGGGGAAGAACAAGCUACAAGUGAUGAAGAUGGCCUAAACCAUUCUGCACUUGUGCUUCAGCCAUCGAGAUCAACAAGAAAUAAAUCUAAAUCUUCAAGUGGCCCUAUGGACAAAUACUGUGAAUUAACUCCCGAAGAGCUUGUUGCCGCAAGGAAGAGGAAUCGUGGUGCUGACACGAUCCAGGGGAAGCUAAAACUGAGAAGAGAGAACAAAAAAGGGCUCGUGCUUUAUGGUGAGGACUUGGAUGGUCCUACUCCUUAUGAAAUGGGUGGCCCAAUAUUGAAUAAGAGAAAGAAAAGAGUUCAGGAGUCCUUCAAUGCACACAGGAAGACUUGGGAGCUUACUGGAUGUACAAUCAUGACAGAUGCAUGGACUGACAUAAGAGGAAGAGGGGUAAUGAAUCUUGUAGUUCAUAGUGCUCAUGGUGUGGUGUUUCUUAAUUCUGUGGACUGUUCAACCAUGAAGAAAGAUGGGAAGUACAUCUUCGAGCUUGUUGAUAGAUGCAUAAAAGAGGUUGAACAUGCUGUCAACUUCUUUGAGCCUUUGGCUAAUUUGCUGCGGCGAAUGGACAGCGAUGUACCAGCUAUGGGUUUCAUAUACGGCGCUUUUUUGGAUGCAAAGAAGGAGAUUGUAGCUAGAUUUGACAAUGAGGAGGCUAGUAUCCAGGAAGUGCUACACAUUAUUGAUAAGAGAUGGGACAACAAAUUGAUGGGGCCCCUGCAUAGGGCUGGAUACUUCUUAAACCCAUACUACUACUAUGAAAACAAGCUGGAGAUUGAGUUGGAUGGAACAUUUAAAGAUGGCCUUGUUGCUUGCAUGGAGAAGAUGGUUAGAGAUGGUAAGAAGGAAGAUAUAAUGACAACUGAGUGUCAGGCAUAUCAAAAUGAAGAGGGGUCGUUUGGAAGGGACAGUGCUAAAAGGCAGCGGAGAAACAAGAACUUUGAUCCAGCUGAAUGGUGGUCUAAUCAUGGAUCAAGUGCACCAAAUCUCAGGGUUCAUGGCAGCAAAAGGCGCAACAGGCUACUUCAUGACAAAAUGAAAGAUCUUGUCUUCAUCAAGGCCAACUCCCAACUUGAACAAAAGAGAAUGAACAAAGACAGGGAUCCACUUGUGGACAGAACACAUGCAGAUGUUGUGGAAGAUGAAGAUAAUGAGUGGAUCACAGGAAUUGUGCCGGUUCCAGUUGUGGAUACUGCAGAUGAACCUGAAGAAGAACCAAUACCACAACCGAGAGCAAGAGCUGCUGCAUCAAAAAGAAAUAAAGCUCGUCAGCCUAGGAAGAAGUUGCUCCCAGUUUUUCGUGAUGAUUAG